GAGAAGUGGAAUUGACACAGAGAGCAGGGGCCCGCCCUAUCCAAGAGGCAGCAGAAUGCGGGGACUGACAGCAAACAAGAACACAUCAGUGGCUUAUCAAGGAGGCAGAAUGACAAGGAGGAUAAGCUGCUGAUCACCCUGGCUGAGAAGAGUUCCAUGGCAGAGGCAGCAGCCUAGUUCCCCUCUAUGUCUUAUUAUAGCUUCAAGCUCUUGAAACUUCAGGAGAAAAAAAAAUAUGUAAGAAUCUCCAUCCUAAUGGAUAAGACUUCUUUCUUCACUUUGGUUUCCAAUGGACCCUACUUGACUGCUAUAACAAUGGCUUUUAAGUCAAGUCUGAAGGAAGCAACUGAUCCUUCAGAAAGAUGAUGGCACUGGUGUGGAGAAAAGGGAAAGAUUAUAUACUGAAGGUGGAGAUGUAAAUGAUACAGCCUGUAUGGAAAACAGGAUGGAGGUUUCUCGAAGAACUAAAAAUAAAACUACACUUCAAUCCAGCAAUCCCACUACUGGCUAUUUAACCAAAGGGAAAAACAGUUAUAUAAAAAAGAUGCCUGCACUUGUGUGUUUAUCACUGCAUAAUUUACAAUAACAAAGAUAUGGAAUCCACCCAAGUGUAAGUGUCCAUCAGCACGUGAUUAGAUAAAAUGAACGUGGUACGUAUACACCAUGGAAUACUACUCAGCCAUCAAAAAAAGUGAAAUCAUAUCUUUUGCAGCAACAUGGAUGGAACUGGUAGCCAUUGUCUUAAAGGAAACAACUCAGAAACAGAAAGCCAAAUAUCACAUGAUCUUACUUAUAAGUGGAAGGAUUCACCUUUGGCUCGCUCUGCCCCAUGCCUGUUGGCCCCUGCUGACACCUGUCUUCCUCUCUCUGGGAAGACUUGUGAUUAAACCAACAAGCACAGAUACAUCUUUUUCAAAAGCAAAUAAAUAUCUUUUGGAAAAAAUCUCUCACUGCCUUCAAGUGCAGUCACAGCACAAAUUUAAGCAUCAAAACAAACUUUUUGUUGUAAAUAUUUACUCCACUGUGGACAGAGACUUAGGAGUCCAUCUGUUCUACGGGAUUUUCAUUUUAGUAGAAUUUUUUGAAACCAGAUCAGCAAAUCAUUGUUACUAUUGGCCACACACAGAAAUAUGUUGCUUAAACAGAACUCUAUGUUCAAAUGGCAUCUGUUAUGAGCCUUGAGCUUGUCUACACAGAGCCACAGAAGGCAGCAAAGAUAAGCGGUGGUGGGAACCUGAGUCACUGACCGUCAAUCAAGGGACUGCACCUCCUGGAAUACUCCCUGCUGGUUCGUAAGCUCUGGAAACUCAGGUGAAAACAGCAGAUGGAACUGGUGUUGAUAUUAAGACACUGCUGCUUCCUUCCAAUUCUUUGCCAAUUUCUUUUUCUUUGCCAAAUUUGUAAAUGCUCACUUUUAGACGCAGAAUAGCAGAGGAACAAACCUGGUUAUAUUCUUUCUCGCUUUGCAUUUGAAAACUGUGACCUUGGCAAGCUGAAGUGGCUGCAUCCUAAAUCUCUAUUUCCUCACCUGUAAAAUAAGCCUAACAGUAUUGUUUGAAGACUAAAUGAGAGAGCUCAGUGAAACACUAGCACCCUUCAAGGCCGAUUGUGGUUGGACAAUGACUCUUCAUUUCCCUUGAAAGAAGAUGAAAGAAUCACACAUUGAGGUGCCCAUAAACCACCCCCAAGUACUCUGAUUCAGUGUGAGGCCUGGGCAACUGUACGUCUUCAGUGAAAUUGGAAGUGGAGAACCACUGCCAUAAGUGAGAAAAGGAAAGUGUAGAAGAGAGGAAAAACAACGUGGAAGUGUUCUGAUGGGACGGAAGAAGAUCGGGCCAAGGAAAGAAGAAUGUUGUGAAGAUGCAAGCAGCCAAUUUGUGCUCCAUAAAAAGUAAAAUGUUGGUAUUAUACAUAAAGCCAUUUGUUUCUUUUUCAUGGGAAGGUAGAG
ensembl:lncRNA MIR3976HG MIR3976 host gene